CACAGGAGAGCUUGCUCUCUGGGUGGCGAGUGGCGGACGGGUGAGGAAUACAUCGGAAUCUACUCUGUCGUGGGGGAUAACGUAGGGAAACUUACGCUAAUACCGCAUACGACCUACGGGUGAAAGCAGGGGACCUUCGGGCCUUGCGCGAUUGAAUGAGCCGAUGUCGGAUUAGCUAGUUGGCGGGGUAAAGGCCCACCAAGGCGACGAUCCGUAGCUGGUCUGAGAGGAUGAUCAGCCACACUGGAACUGAGACACGGUCCAGACUCCUACGGGAGGCAGCAGUGGGGAAUAUUGGACAAUGGGCGCAAGCCUGAUCCAGCCAUACCGCGUGGGUGAAGAAGGCCUUCGGGUUGUAAAGCCCUUUUGUUGGGAAAGAAAUCCAGCUGGCUAAUACCCGGUUGGGAUGACGGUACCCAAAGAAUAAGCACCGGCUAACUUCGUGCCAGCAGCCGCGGUAAUACGAAGGGUGCAAGCGUUACUCGGAAUUACUGGGCGUAAAGCGUGCGUAGGUGGUCGUUUAAGUCCGUUGUGAAAGCCCUGGGCUCAACCUGGGAACUGCAGUGGAUACUGGGCGACUAGAAUGUGGUAGAGGGUAGCGGAAUUCCUGGUGUAGCAGUGAAAUGCGUAGAGAUCAGGAGGAACAUCCAUGGCGAAGGCAGCUACCUGGACCAACAUUGACACUGAGGCAC
rnacentral:rRNA from 1 species